CUCUGACUCCUGGUAGUACAACGUCAGCUGACGACCUCCCUGGGUGCUUGUUUUGGCAACAACUGGGUCAAUGAACUGAUCACUCCUGACUCAAAACAAGUUCUUCACCCUGCUCUACAUCAGAUGAGUCCAGCGUCAGAAGUGCCCAGAGCUUAUUUGAUAUGGAGUUUAACUGAACAAAGGUUACGGACUGAAAACAGAGGUUAAAGGCUUCUCACGCUCAGGUGUGCCACAUCUGGAUCGUCAUGUCAGGCCUGCAGCAUCAUUUUACCAAGUCACCUGUACAUGUUUCUCAGACUUGACUUCACCACCCGAGUGCAUGUUCCUCUGCCAAGAUGGAGACGAAAAGCGAUGGAUCUGAAGUCAAGAGAAUAACCACGUGUGGCCCAGAGAACAAAGAGGCUCGUGUGUUCGGCGCCACACAUUUCUAGAUUUUCUCCUCUGCCUACUUAACAUGGCUCAUCAGAGAUCUUC